rnacentral:rRNA from 1 species
GAUGAACGCUGGCGGCGUGCCUAACACAUGCAAGUCGAGCGACGAACCGGGGCUUGCCCCUGGGGUGAGCCGCGAACGGGUGAGUAACACGUCGGUGGCCUGCCGCGAGGGUGGGGACACCUCUUCGAAAGGGGGGCAAUAACCCAUGGUUCCUCAUGGCGGAAAAGAGGGUUCAGCCGCCUCACCGGGAUGGGACAGCGCCGGAUUAGCUUGGUGGAUGGGUGAUGGCUUAGCUAGGCGAGGGUGCGAAGCGGGACUGAGGGGACGAUCAGCCACACUGGCACUGAGACACGGCCCAGACUCCUACGGGAGGCAGCAGUGGGGAAUCUUGCACAAUGCGCGAAAGCGUGAUGCAGCAAAGCCGCGUGAGGGAAGAAGGCCUUAGGGUUGUAAACCGCUUUAAGUUGGGAGGAGGGUAAGUUCGUGAAUAGCGGAUUGGAGUGACGGUACCUGCAGAAGAAGCGCCGGCUAACUACGUG